rnacentral:rRNA from 1 species
UACGGGGGGGGGCAAGCGUUGUUCGGAAUUACUGGGCGUAAAGGGCUCGUAGGCGGCCAACUAAGUCAGACGUGAAAUCCCCGGGCUCAACCUGGGAACUGCGCUUGUGACUGGCAGGCUAGAGUACGGCAGAGGGGGGUGGAAUUCCACGUGUAGCAGUGAAAUGCGUAGAGAUGUGGAGGAACACCAAUGGCGAAGGCAGCCCCCUGGGUCGAUACUGACGCUCAUGCACGAAAGCGUGGGUAGCAAACAGG